CCACAAGGAAGAAACAGUAUACAAGGGCUGAGGUUUCCUUUGAAGUCCUCCUCUUAAUUCACACGCUCAGCUGAGCGUGUCUUGUGUAACUAAGGAGGCCUGUGGUGGGAGGAAAAAAAUGCUGGUUUAGGCAAUAAGAGAACUCCAGUCCAGCUCCUGAGACCUCUGCUACACGGUUUUGGAUGACACAGUUAAUUAUCUGUAACAAAGUCUUCAGGAAGAUGUAGCCAAAAGGAAACGAAUGCCGCCAACAACCUGAGUGAACUUGGAAGCAGAUUCUCACCAGUUGAAUUUUUAGAUGAAAACCCAACCCAGUGACACCUUGAUGGCAGCCCUGGGAGACCCUAAGCAGAGUAUCCAGUCAUGCCAUGCCCCGACUCCUGAACCCACAGAAACUGUGAGACAAAAAAUGAAACUUUUCUACGUGUCCUUCAGAGUCACGUGAAGUUGCUGCCAGAGCUCAGCAUAAAUCACAUUUCACCUUAACAGAGUGCAAGACCAGUAGAGACUGACUCGGUGUCUUUUGAGACUCGAGACUCUGGGAGCUGCACGCAGAGAAAACAAACCUGGGGAACGAAAAGUAGAAGCAAACAAGUUUUUAUAGUAACAUUGAUAUUAGUAUGCCUUCCCUGGCCUCUUCAAUUGUUUUUUCCAAGAUAUUGAAGUCUGUCAUCCAAACCAUACCAAAUGAGAGGUUAGUUGUUCAACUCCUUUCCCUCAGCGUGUGUCUUCUCACAAGAUCCACGUCUCCUCUCGACACUCCCGUUCCCCACAAAAUAGAAAGGCUGAUAGCCAACUACAGACUGCGGUCCACAGAGGGCAACUCUAGGCAGGGGGCACAGGGCCGUUGCCUAGACGAAAGUCUGACGCCGAGAAUCCUAAUCUCUCACGUCUGAUCUCGCUGGCUAUUGUGGCCCUAAGGGGUGGCAGAACAGGUGAGGGC